ensembl:lncRNA
AUGCCUCAACUCAUUUACAUUUGCAUGGAUAACUGCACCCAUAAUCUCAGAGUCACCCAAAGAACUUCAGCUACUCCUUUGAUGACUCGCCCAGGGAGAAAGGCCACCCUUCAUUGUGAUCUGGCUGUGGGACCGCCUGUCGUGCUGGGAAUAAGGUCCAGGACAACUUUGAAGCAUCCAGAACACACAGGUAUGUGCAUCUUUAUGGCAUCUCUUAAAUAUCCCUGGUUUUAAUGACCUUGAAUUGAUUUGAAUUGAAGGCAAUAUAGCCGUGAAAACAAGUACUUGCAGCAUACACAAUUUCUGUAUAGUUUAUCACCAAUACCCUUUGGAAUCAUGUAUCUUUGCUUUUCAUUAACUGGAUUUCAACCUAUAGUGCCUUUUGCCUAUAUUUCACUUCAAUAUAAGCACUCAAACGACUCAUUUAUUUGAAUUCCACAGUGAAGUGUAAUGUAGAUAGUUCUUCUAGAUGGGAAAAUUACUUUUAAUAAGAAUAGGGCAUAAGGACAUGCUUCAAGCCAUUCAUAACUGAGUAGCAGUAGAAGGAACCUCUGGGUUUCCAAAGCAUCAGCCCACUGCUGUCCAGUUAUAGACAGCUUCAGCAUAUCAUUGUACUAUAUUCAUUUUGAUUAAAAGUAACUUUCUAAGCUUUGCUAGAAUAACAAAUGUGUUUUACAGUUAUUGCUCUUGAAGAGCUUUCCACUUUAUUUUUUUAAGGUUUCUCCACUGGAUUUGUUUCUGCAUUGUCCUUCACAGGUCAAGAGGGAUCCAGAGAAUAUAAAUUAAGUGUCCAACUGUGAGUUUCAUGAUGUGUUGUUAUCUUGUUGCGGUCACCCCAUGUCUCAAAGAUCUUGGGGAGACUCAUACUAGUUAGCCAGAGAAAGAUUGGACUACAGCAAGUUAGUUGGCUGCCAUAAAUUUAUAUAUAGCAUGAAAAGACUUGUCAAGAUUGUCCAGAAAUGGUAUGGGAGAGAGAGUGCAAUGGGAUCAUGAACUGAUCCCACAGAGAGCCAAUGGGAGAGGAACAAAGAAUGAAUGAAUGUGCGACCUGACAUAAAAUGGUCUUGGACCACUCCAGAUUGGUGGAAGCCCCUAUCUUAUGCUAAAUAUGGAUCUGGGCCUGUCUAGAUGGAGAACAUCUAAGUGAGAGAAGGUAACCCGUUGAGUUCAUGAGAUAAUGAAUUGACAAGGAGGGAUAUGUUUAUACAUCCACUCUUUUAAAAUUAUGUCAUGGAUCCAGCCAAUGGAGGGUGAAUAACAUCAAACAUUGUCAUGUAAUUAUUUAAGAACUGCAAAUGACAUGUGUGAAGACGUGUAACCUUCAAAUGUCUUUCCACAUGUCAUAUGUUGGAUGACAUUUCCCACAAGUCCUUGCGGCUGACCACACUGGCUAGGGCAGAAGGGAUUUACACUCCAAUGAAAUUUGGAGGGUGAUAUAGUCCCCAUUUCUGGUAUAUGAUGCUCUUCAGUAUUUCUAGGAUAAGGUACAAAAACAGAGAAUGAAAAUAAUAUUCAGAAAAGGGUGGUGGGACAAUGUCUUACCAGCAUCUGAUAAUUUUUCUUUAUUCCUUUUAUCCACUCAGUGAUCUCAAUAGAAAUAGACACACCAGCGCAAAUAGCAAAUUUAACUUAAUUGUGCUUUGGAUAACGCAUUGCCCCACAACAAAAGCACUGCUUUGAAAAAAGAAUGUACAGAGUAUGCUCAAAGCAAAAGGAAUUGUAAUCAAUUUAUUGUGUAAGUAAUAAAAAGCCCUUAGUCUAUGCAGCAUCUUGUUCAAGAAGCUUGAAGAAAGCCAGCACUUUCUGCAGUGUUUUUUUAAAAAAAAAAAUCUGUUCUUCUUUGUGGAUUUGUUUCUAGUAAAGAGCUUUGCUGACCUAGAUAAAAUAUAGAUCAACUCAGUGAGCUAGCCGGCCCUUCUGUAUAGAAGAACCAGAGUUAAAAUAUCCAAAAUUAGAUUUCCAUAUGUAAAAAUCAAAAUUCUACCUGGAAAAAAUGUGUGUGUAAUCUUGGUAUCUCCACUUCAUUUUUGCAUGAUACCCAUCAUUAUCCACAAUAUGAACAGCUUGUGUGGCUUCAUAUUUUAGCUGUGAGAGGAUUUUAUAUUAAAUGGAUGAAAGCCUGUAGAAAUGUGAACCCUAGAAUAGCUUCCUGGAUAGCACAAACAUUUAUUGCUAAAGGCCAGAUAGGAUCUUGGAAUCCUUUCCUCUCUCCACAUUUAAGAAUUAAUUUUGCUUGAAACAACACACAUUGGUUCAUACAAAAGCAGAUUUCUUGGAAAGCUCAGCAGAAUGAACAACAAUGAGCUGUCAGAAUUUAAAAUCCAACUAAAGACCUAUCCCUUCCAGCAGGCAUACCCAGCCAGUUUUAAAAAUGAAUUUUAAACUCAUGUCCUGUGUUUUAAUCUCUGUCCUGUGUUUUUAAUAUGUAUUUGAUAGAAAUACAGUUUAAUACAUAUCUUUUCUAGAAUUACAUUUUAAUAUGUAUGCUCCUAGAAUUUUUGCAAUGUUUGUGAGUCUUGACUGUACCAUGAGGAGAGGCUGGUAACAAAUAAUAAUAAUAAUAUAGAAAUUUUCACAAUUUGCUCAAAUAUUAGGGAGCUAUAGUUGGAUCAAGUCAUCACCCCAACGAUAUGAUUCCUGACUAAUAAAAUACUGAUAUAUUUGGAGAAAUUGUUCAAUAACAUAAAGACAACAAACACUUUCGAAUUUUGAUUGGAGAUUGCAAUUUUCCAAAAUUCAGCCAAAUGGCUGUGUAAAAACUUUUCUCUGUGUUUUGAUUACCAGAAAAGAGCUAAACACAUUUGUGUUGAAUUUUUGCAUCAGCAGUUCCCGAUAGAUAAUAUCAACAGGUUUGAGAGAGAAAAAACAAUAACAGAAUAUUCUUUCUUAUAAAGCUGCAAAUAAAGCAAAGCCAAAUAUAAUACAGAAAUCUGAUAAGAUGACAGCCACUCCCACUGACAUAACACACCAUUGAACUAAUGAGACAGAAGGGAUGGUUUUGUUCCAAGAACUCAGAAAGCAAUUCUCUUUGCUAAAGAAAGAAUUCCAAGAAAAGCUGAAAACAGACUGGAAAGUAACCUUGAAACCUAUUGAUGAGAAGACUGAAAAGCUAAAUAACACCUUUUGGGAGGUGGGAAAAACUGCAAAUGAAGCUUUAGAAGAAGGAUGGGUGACCUAGAAAAACCCCACACCUUGAAUAAAACUGUGCAAGUGCUUGCUAUAAAGGCAGAAAACAGAGAAAAACAGAAGAACAUACAUUUAUGUGUGAUUUAUUAUAUUGUGAAUUCUGACUGUUAACUGUCUUAUGGUUUAUUUGUUUUGUGAUGGCUGAAUAUCUGUAUAUAAACAAAAUGUCUUGUUUGCUAUACUAAGCAACUAAAUAAAAGUGAUAUACAGCAACAGAAGAAAUAGAAAGCUCAAGAAUAUAAAAAGAAAUCUCUAAACCUGUUGGAAUAUUGAUGUGUUAUAUAUAUCUCCUCCUGUCAAUGUAGCUGGUUGUUCUCCCUUUCCAUUACUCAGUGUUUCCAGUUUUCUUCUGUAGAAGGUGCAGGAGUAAAUGCAGAGCUAGAUAAUGAUAUUAUGAAGAGGGAUGAUAGAUUACCCUACAUAACUAUUGCCAGGAGAGCACAACAUAAUUACUUUUUCCAAAAUCUACAAAACAGUGAUAUCUUUAUUGCACCAACCAAAAAAGACAAAACACAUCAUGCAAACUUUCAAAGCUACAUUGGCAUCUUCAUCAAAUGAAGAUUGUACCCGAGAAGAAAAGUGACAAUGUUAGAUUCACAGGCCUACAGUUUGCUGUAGCUCUCAAAAUGUAGUCAUUUUAACAUUGUCACUUUUCUUCUCCUGUCCUUUGGGAGGCACUUUGGACAUGCGGAGAAGCAGCAUAUGAAAUAUAAUUAUAUUGUGCUGUCAUUUUUUCAUAGUAAAAUGAAAUUUCAGUAAAAAAAAAUUGUAAUAACACUUUAAUUCCCUUGAAUUCUCCACCACAUGCAAAUCUUUGGGGAAGGGGAAUGCCAUCUUUC